rnacentral:rRNA from 1 species
GACGAACGCUGGCGGCGUGCUUAACACAUGCAAGUCGAACGGAAAGGCCCUGCUUUUGUGGGGUGCUCGAUUGGCGAACGGGGGAGUAACACGUGAGUAACCUGCCCUUGACUUUGGGAUAACUUCAGGAAACUGGGGCUCAUACCGGAUAGGAGCUCUUGCUGCAUGUUGGGGGUUGGAAAGUUUCGGCGGUUGGGGAUGGACUCGCGGCUUAUGAGCUUGUUGGUGAGGUAGUGGCUUACCAAGGCUUUGACGGGUAGCCGGCAUGAGAGGGUGACCGGGCACAUUGGGACUGAGAUACGGCGCAGACUCCUACGGGAGGCAGCAGUGGGGAAUCUUGCGCAAUGACCGGAAGCCAGAUGCAGAAACGCCGCGUGCGGGAUGCCGGCCUUCGGGUUGUAAACCGCUUUCGACUGUGACGAAGCGUGAGUGACGGUAAUGGGUAAAGAAGCCCCGGCUAACUACGUG